CGCUAUGCAAAGCCCAAAGUCACGGAAUUCCGAAGAAGGUCCACACUACUAUUGUUUCUCGAUUUUGAUUACUUUCUUAACUCAUCUCCUAUUUUCCUCAAAUCUCUCUUCCGAUCUUUUCUACUAUCUAAUAAAGCGGCAUAAGCACACAACAGGUCAACAUGCCUGCCUGUACGCUUGAGGGUAUAAUUGUCUUUUCGGUUUCAUUUUGUGUGACACGUGCUAUCUCUGAUUGUUCCAUUUCUGCCACGUUUUAGCAGAGGUACAGCUGCCGCUAUGCAAAGCCCAAAGCCACGGAAUUCCGAAGAAGGUCCACCCUACUACUGUUUCUCGAUUUUGAUUACUUUCUUAACUCAUCUCCUAUUUUCCUCAAAUCUCUCUUCCGAUCUUCCUCUUACGGCUCAAUUUCUGCGUUUCCCGGACAUAGUUAUCAGAUGGAUUCGAAAAAAACAGAUGACUUUCUACAUGGAGAAAAAAAGAAGGCUGCAAUGCAACUCAAACGUCGCGAUACUUACAACCAAAUAUCUCCUGUUAGAAGGGAUGCGUUAUUGUUAUCACGGCGUAUGAGAAAACAAGACACUGCAAGGCAUAACCUUGCUGAAAAUGCAGAUGUUGCUGUCUCGGAGCAGCCAACAUCAUCUUUAUACAAAGUAGGAUUCCAAAACAAACUGCGCUUGCCAUACGAGAACCUCAUGCUCUUCUUGAAAAAGCUGCUAGCCAUCAACUUUGUGCAACUACAUCCCGCGAUAAUAUGGAAAAAGGAAAAGAUAUAUGCAAUCCUCUUGUCAUUCACGAAAUAGGAUGCAGAUCGGGUACAUCUGACCACUGUGUUUUGACCUUAAGCACAGUUCCAACUAAAGAUUUGGAUCAACCGGAGGUCGAUUCGUGCGGGCAAGGCAUCGCAGGCUUGAGUUCGGACCAGAUCGAGAUUAAGUAUUUUUAAACUCGGUAGCGGGUAUUGGCUGA